rnacentral:ncRNA from 1 species
UUCUUAUCACGAGAGGUGGAGGGACUGGCCCUUUGAUACCUCGGCAGCGGACUAUUUUAGCACCGUGCCAACUCCAGCAGACAGCAGUCUGAGAGAUGAGAA